UACAGAGGGUGCGAGCGUUAAUCGGAAUUAUUGGGCGUAAAGCGCAUGUAGGUGGUUAUAUAAGUUUGAUGUGAAAGCCCCGGGCUUAACCUGGGAAUUGCGUUGAAUACUGUGUGACUAGAGUCGGACAGAGGGUAGUAGAAUUUCCGGUGUAGCGGUGAAAUGCGUAGAGAUCGGAAAGAAUACCAGUGGCGAAGGCGGCUACCUGGGUCCAGACUGACACUGAGGUGCGAAAGCGUGGGGAGCAAAC
rnacentral:rRNA from 1 species